rnacentral:rRNA from 1 species
CUCUGUGACUCCUACGGGAGGCAGCAGUGAGGAAUAUUGGACAAUGGAGGCAACUCUGAUCCAGCCAUGCCGCGUGCAGGAAGACUGCCCUAUGGGUGUAAACUGCUUUUAUACAGGAAGAAACACCUCUACGUGUAGAGAUUUGACGGUACUGUAAGAAUAAGGAUCGGCUAACUCCGUGCCAGCAGCCGCGGUAAUACGAGGAUCCAAGCGUUAUCCGGAAUCAUUGGGUUUAAAGGGUCCGUAGGUGGAUAAUUAAGUCAGAGGUGAAAAUCCUGCAGCUUAAACUGUAGAAAUUGCCUUUGAUACUGGUUGUCUUGAGUUAUUAUGAAGUGGUUAGAAUAUGUAGUGUAGCGGUGAAAAUGCAUAGAUAUUACAUAGAAUACCAAUUGCGAAGGCAGAUCACUAAUAAUAUACUGACACUGAUGGACGAAAGCGUGGGGAGCGAACAGGAUUAGAUACCCUGGUAG